rnacentral:lncRNA from 1 species
ACCUGCUUAUGGAGCUCUUACUUUACGUAUCCACUUUAAGGUCAAUUCAGUGGUGCAGCAGUAAAUGCACCAAUCACUGAUGUAGCCACAAUCUAAAUGGUCUGUUUGACAGAUACAAGUUUUGCAAAUGGGAGUUUUUCCCAGCUUGGUGAGUAAACAUACAGUCUUAGCUGACUGGAGAAAGAUUAGUUUACUUCUGUGGGCUUAAUCUAUGACAUAGACUAAUCUUGAUGUGAUCCUAUUACUGCAAGGUCAGGGGGAUUUUACUAGUUUUUGAUUGUCUAGGUUUGCUUGCUUGACUCUAGCCUGUGUGAUCUGGAGCUUUUUUUUUCUUCUUUAUCUGUGUCUCUGAGACUUUGUAGUCAGGAGAAGGAGAAACAAUCCCAACCACAAAAAUGUAAGGAGAUUGACAAUUAAAGGGUAGUAUAAAAGGAAAAAUAGAAGCCUCUACCCCAUUAUGAUAUCCCCUUAUCAAUGUAAAACUAAAAUCUAGGAAGUAGCAAAGAAGCUCCACCAUCCUCUGUCAGAUUUCUGGAGAUUUGUUUAACAUGAGCUGGUCACAUUGCUGUGAUGAGUGUUCCUAGUGGAAACAGCUGGAAGACCUAGCCAUUUACAGGCUGCCAGGAUGUGACAAGUGAUUCCUCAGAGCACUCCCAAGGUUACAACAGCAUUGUUUUGAGGAUAUGUAGUUUACAGAAAAAGACAUCGACUUUUCUUCACCCAUCAGAUAACAGUCCCCAGCAACCUUCAGUGUACUCAUUCUCAUGGUAGGUAACAAUAUUCUCUCUGUACUUCAUUUUAGGGAUAGAAACCAAAGAAUCAAGAGCAGUUGAAGCAUGUAAUGGCU